AUUGUGUGAGGAGUGGGUGUGAGUCAGAGUAAUUGUGUGAGGUGCCCGUGUAAUUGUGUGAGAAGCGGGUGUGAGAGCAAUUGUGUGAGGUGUGGGUGUAAUUGUGUGAGGACUGGGUGUAAUUGUGUGGUGUGGGUGUAAUUGUGUGAGGUGCAGGUGUAAUUGUGUGAGGAGUGGGUGUAAUUGUGAGGUGCCCGUGUAAUUGUGUGAGGUGUGGGUGUGAGUGUGUGAGGUGCGGGUGUGAGAAUUGAGUGGCUGUGAGUGUGAGGUGGAGGUGUAAUUGUGUGAGGUGCGGGUGUGAGAGUAAUUGUGUGAGGUGUGGGUGUGUGAGGUGUGGGUGUGAGUAUAAUUGUGUGAGGUACAGAUGUGAGUAAUUGUGUGAGGUGUGGGGUAAUUGUGUGAGGUGCGGUUGUAAUUGUGAGGUGCGUAAUUGUGUGAGGUGUGGGUGUAAUCGUGUGAGGAGCGGGUGUAAUUGUGUGGUGUGUGGGUGUGAGAGUAAUUGAGGUGUGGGUAUGAGUAAUUGUGUGAGGAGCAGGUGUAAUUGUGAGGUGCAGGUGUAAUUUUGUGAGGAGCGGGUGUAAUUGUGUGAGGUGUGGGUGUAAUUGUGUGAGGUGUGGGUAUGAGAGUAAUUGUGUGAGGAGCGGGUGUAAUUGUGUGAGGUGCAGGUGUGAGCAAUUGUGUGAGGUGUAAUUGAGGAGCAGGUGUGAGAGUAGUUGUGUGAGGAGCGGGUGUGAUUGCAGCAGGGAUAGAGCUUCACUUCUGUUCUCCCUGCUGGAUGCUUCUUCACUGAGGGCAUGCGUGUGCGCUCUGGCCUGGGGCCGUGUGACCAGGGCUGGGCACGUGUGGCUGCCCUGACAGUGAGGGCCACCCUCUCCUGGCGUCUGGUGGGCAGGUGCGCGGUGGGGCCGGCCCUGCGCGGUGUGCUCGUGGCGGUGAGCCGGGCUGUGCAGGAGGUGAGGUCCCUCCUGUGAGGUUUUGGGUCCAGUGGGGUGGCGCUGGCAGGCAGCGGGCAGGGCUGAGCCCCUCCUGCGCCUCCUGCUCUGCUGGUUGUAAGGUUUGACAGGAAGUGGAGUUUUUAACAGGGAAAGCACCUCAAGAGAUCAGAACAGUAGCAGAAGACCUGUUAGAUCAUAAAGGAAUGUGACUUUUGCAACUCCUGCUUCACUGCAAGCAAACCCUGGCAUUCCUAUGUAAUCACAACUUUUAUUCUGUGUAUUUAAGCUAUUUAAGUUAUUAUUAUGUAAAUAAUGAUCUUUUUAACUCAUGAGAUGCCUGUGCAAGUCACUGUGUUUCUUAUGAAGGGAAAAGUGGAUGCAGAAAUGGUCCCAGGCUGUCAGCUGGUGCUGAAGAAGUUUGGAAUCACCAAGACCACAUUCCCCAUAGGAAACAGUCUGAAAAUACUCUUUGGAAGAGAAAGAAUGUUGCCUGCAGACCUUUUCAUGAGAUUGAGGGAGGAUGGGCAGAACCUCAGGGAGAAGCAGGGAGGCUUGUUCCCGGGAGGGGACCAGGCUCCCACAGGGGCGCAGAUAGGCGUGGCCCAGCCCUGCAGUCCCAGCCUUGGUGGAAUUCCCCAGGAAACAGCAGAAAGCGGCUUUGGGUGGAGAUGUGCCAUGGGCAGUGGGCGGAGUUGGGGCGUGGCCUGAAGCUAGGCAGUUUUCCUGAGCUCUUCUGGCUCCUCUGGUGAUGCAGAGCCCAGCAGCCGUGGCCCAGGCGCCUGGCCUCUGCAAGUCAGUUUUGUCUGAGUCCCUUCAGCACAUUCUUUGCACUGGUGUGCCCUCAAAUAUUUAAAUACACACCUGUACCCAUUUAAGAGCUCCCAUUCUUAAUUCAGAUAACUCCAGGUGCAUUGGUGUGGUCUACUAUGUAUUCAAAUAGUCUAACCAAUUCUAAAUAAGUAAGUUGGCUAAUUUGUUUCUAGUCAUUAAGCAGAUUACACAGUUUAAAGACAGAAUUUAUUCCACUCAGCUCAGUGUUUUUAGCAAGACUCAGCUGUCAGUGCCAUCAAAAAAGGCCUUGCUGACGGUCGUCUGGGUGGCAGCCCACAUCUGCCCGUCCCACAGCCCUCCUAUGGCCUCCUCCUGGCAGCCUGCUCCUCCUAUCUUGCUCUCUGGAGGGUGUAGAGUUGCACCUGGUUGUUCAUACAGGAAGUCCCUUUCGUAGGUCAGCUCCCUGAGCACAGGGUAUCAGUAGCUGCCAUCCUAUUCCUCCCCUGGAGAAGGAAGUGACCAGGGUGAGUUUUGCUCUGGUGAAGGUGCGGAUGAGGAUGGGUGCUUUCUGCUGAGAGGCGGCCCCAUCCAUGGGUUCCUUCUCUCCAGGCGGCGGAGAGAGCCCCAGACAUCACCAGCAUUUGUUCUUAGAGUGCUUGUUGCCGCAUCUCGGCUGCCUGUGAACUCACUUUUGAUGCCGUAUGCCACAGCCCGCUGCCUUCCUCUGCCUCUCCCCACUGGGGACAGGCUGUCUGAGUGGCCAGUGAUGGCCCUGACAGAGAACAGACCGGGCUGGAGCCAUCUAAGAAGGCGGGGCCAGGUGGAGAUCGUCCGCCAGGAAAACAGCCAGAGGCUCUGCCUGUCCCAGCCCUGAGCACUGUGGUCCCGCAGAGGAGGAUGUGGGCAUCGGGUGUUUGCUUGCUUGUUGAGCAUUCUGUUUGUUUCUGUUUAAUUUCAGCUUGACCCUAGGGAAGAGGCACAUCUUUUGAGGUGGGGCUGAGGUUUCAAGGGAAAGAUCAUCAUGUGUGUGGUUUCUCAGCUGCAGCAUGCCUGGGGCAGUGCCCUAGGCAAACCAAACCAUCUGUCUUUGCCUUUU